GACGAACCGAGCGAACGUUGUUCGGAAUUACUGGGCGUAAAGGGCUCGUAGGCGGCCAACUAAGUCAUACGUGAAAUCCCUCGGCUUAACCGGGGAACUGCGUCUGAUACUGGAUGGCUUGAGUUCGGGAGAGGGAUGCGGAAUUCCAGGUGUAGCGGUGAAAUGCGUAGAUAUCGAGAGGAACACCGGUGGCGAAGGCGGCGAUCUGGACGAUGACUGACGCUGAGACGCGAAAGCGUGGGGAGCAAACAGG
rnacentral:rRNA from 1 species